CCUACGGGAGGCAGCAGUGGGGAAUAUUGCACAAUGGGGGAAACCCUGAAGCAGCGACGCCGCGUGAGUGAAGAAGUAAUUCGGUAUGUAAAGCUCUAUCAGCAGGGAAGAAAAUGACGGUACCUGAGUAAGACGCCCCGGCUAACUACGUGCCAGCAGCCGCGGUCAUACGUCGGGGGCAAGCGUUAUCCGGAUUUACUUGGUGUAAAGGGAGCGUAGACGGCAGUGCAAGUCUGGAGGGAAAGGCUGGGGGUCAACCCCCGGACUGCGCUGGAAACUGUGCGGCUUGAGUGGAGGAGAGGUAAGUGGAAUUCCUAGUGUAGCGGUGAAAUGCGUAGAUAUUAGGAGGAACACCAGUGGCGAAGGCGGCUUACGGGACUGUAACUGACGUUGAGGCUCGAAAGCGUGGGGAGCAAACAGGAUUAGAUACCCGGGUAGUC
rnacentral:rRNA from 1 species